rnacentral:rRNA from 1 species
CUGCUGCCUCCCGUAGGAGUCUGGGCCGUGUCUCAGUCCCAAUGUGGCCGUUCUACCUCUCAGUACGGCUACUGAUCGUCGCCUUGGUGAGCCGUUACCUCACCAACCAGCUAAUCAGACGCGAGCCCAUCUUUAAGCGAUAAAUCUUUGAUACACAAACCAUGCGAUUCAUGUAUAUUAUGCGGUAUUAGCGGUCGUUUCCGACCGUUAUCCCACUCUUAAAGGCAGGCUGCUCACGUGUUA